rnacentral:rRNA from 1 species
UACGGAGGUGGCGAGCGUUGUCCGAAGUUACUGGGCGUAAAGCGCGCGUAGGCGGGCUCUUAAGUGGGAAGUGAAAGGCUGGGGCUCAACUCCAUGCAGUGCUUCUCAUACUGGGGGUCUUGAGGGCGGUAGAGAGAAGUGGAAUGGCUGGUGUAGCGGUGAAAUGCGUAGAUAUCUCUAAGAACACCAGUUGCGAAGGCGGCUGGCUGGGUCCACAUUGACGCUGAGGCUCGAAAGCGUGGGGAGCAAACAGG